CUCUCACUGCAUGUGGCAGGCAAAGGAAGUCCUCAGACAGCUUAGCUAGGAACAACUGAGAGUCUAGUAAUAAGGGUACAGACACAGAGGAUGUCUUCAUUUCCUGGGCACUGCCGUGGACUCAUUGUGCACUGACUAAGAGUUUUCCUCCAAGCUGGGUCCCGCUGCCCAGGGAUACAGAAGCCCAAAGAGUUCAGGCCAGGCUAGAAUGAGAAGACCUGGGUGAGGAAAGCACAUCUGCAUAGAGACUCCUCCCUCUUUUGAGGCAGCAGAAGGAUAAGAGGUCCGGGGAAGCUCUGCAGAACCAGUGCUGCAGUGUCAGAGGGCAGCACCCUUGGAGUAGCACAACAUGACCUGGGCUCUGCUUUUGCUCAUGACCCUCACGCAGGGCACCGGGACCCGGGCGCAGUCUGCUCUGACUCAGCCUCCCUCGGCCUCUGGGUCUGAUGGACAGAAGAUCACCAUCACCUGUGAUGGCACCAGCAGUGACAUUGGGAGGUACGAUACUGUCUCUUGGUACCAGCAGCUGCCAGGAACAGCCCCCAAACUUCUGAUAUAUGGUGUCAGCAGUCGGCCUUCAGGGAUCCCUGAUCGCUUCUCUGGCUCCAAGUCUGGCAACACGGCCUCCCUGAGCAUUGCUGCCCUCCAGCCUGAGGAUGAGGGCGAUUAUUAUUGCUCCUCGCGUGGUUAUGAUACGCUUCUCACAGUGGCCCAAGUUCAUAAAGAAGUGAAAGAAAAACCUGCGGUGAGCUGGAAAGUUCCUUCUCCCAUGCCCUGAAGAUGUUUGCUUAGAUUUUUGCAGAGGGAACUCGUGCCACCUAGACCAGAAUUUCAGUUUCCUCUGAGCUCCUCUCCUUCUCCACGGUGAAAACACGCUCUCUGCUCUAUUUUGUUGAGUUAUGAAGGAGUCUUCUGGUCUAAGUUGUUCGACUCAGCUGGUGUGAGUGUCUCCAACUCUUCACUGGAAGGAUCAAGGGUCAGGUCCAUACCAGGAGGUCCAAUUUCCUCAAUUCCAUGAAAGCUCUCACCGUAAAUGUUUCCA